rnacentral:guide_RNA from 1 species
AUUACAGUGAACAUUGAUAUAAUUUAAGUUGUA